GCGUGUGUGAAGAAGGCCUGCGGGUUGUAAAGCACUUUCAGGGGGGAAGAAAGGGUCGGGGUUAAUACCCCUGGCUUCUGACGUUACCCCCAGAAGAAGCACCGGCUAACUCCGUGCCAGCAGCCGCGGUAAUACGGAGGGUGCAAGCGUUAAUCGGAAUCACUGGGCGUAAAGCGCACGUAGGCGGCACGUUAAGUCAGCUGUGAAAGCCCUGGGCUCAACCUGGGAAUGGCAGUUGAUACUGACGGGCUCGAGUCUGAGAGAGGGAGGUGGAAUUCCAGGUGUAGCGGUGAAAUGCGU
rnacentral:rRNA from 1 species